AGGGAGAUGAUAUGCACGGAACCAAUCAACAUACAUAUGUUGAUUUUUUGCGUGCAUAUGCUCAGCCAGGCCAAGCAAGACAAAUAUGCAAGUGUGAACGGUGCAAGCAACCAAACACGUCCUAAAUCAAACUUUUGGUAUGAUAUACCAUAUCAUCAACAUUAGCCAAAUUUAUAUAGCAAAUCUUUCAUCGUUGUUGCCGCAACCAAACACUUUCAUUCUUGUUACAUUGUAGUUUCACGCACAUAAAAAAUGCACACAUCUGACUUGCUAACACUGAAAGAUAUGUACUAAUGAUUAUUUCCAGAUCUUGCAUGAAGAUUAGUGGUUGGGAUUACAAAUUGACAAAAUCAAAAAUCAAUAACAUCUCAUCGAAAUAUCAGGCUACAUUGUAUCUAUUAAUUAUCCCCCCCAAAAUAUGUCUCAUGAUAUAUCUGAUGAUAUGUAUUUAAAAUUUUAAAUGUAGAUAGUUUUCCCUAUAGUUGACCCCUUGAAAAAACAUACAUGCAUGAUUAGCCCAUUAUUACUUGUACACUCGAUAUUACGCUUUGUGGUAUACUACUUUGGUUUUGUUAAUGCACAAAGCAGGUUGCUUUAUUGUGGUGGACAAGGCACCGCUUGCAAAUCUCUCAAUUCUCAAGUUGUUUUCAUGGACAAGACAGUGAAUUGUCACACACACGUUGAGUUCAUAUUACCUCGUGAUUAGAUACUCUCGUGCUCAUUAUCUGUGAUUCACUUUUCUUGGUAUACUUGUUUUUCAAUAGCAAGGAACCGGCUAGAAUAUAUCGGUGAACAUUUAGACAGGGAGUAAUUUUUUUUUUCCGCUUCUAGCUUAGACUAAAAUAAAUUUUGAAAGACCAACUUAUUACGUAAAAGGAUGAGAAGAUACAAAAGGAAAAUCUGGAGGUGGCUCUUCCUCAUUUAUUUGUACCAAUUAUGCACGAGAGACUAUAAUAAUGUCAAGCUAUAACUAGACAGACGGCAU
rnacentral:lncRNA from 1 species